CUGCGUCGUAAAGGUAAAGUCUCAUUGACGUAUAUUCCACAUCUUUUUAUUAUCUGCGUCGUAAAGGUAUAGUCUCAUUGACGUAUAUUUCACAUCUUUUUAUUAUCUGCGUCGUAAAGGUAUAGUCUCAUUGACGUAUAUUCCACAUCUUUUUAUUAUCUGCGUCGUAAGGGUAAAGUCUCAUUGACGUAUAUUCCACAUCUUUUUAUUAUCUGCGUCGUAAGGGUAAAGUCUCAUUGACGUAUAUUCCACAUCUUUUUAUUAUCUGCGUCGUAAAGGUAUAGUCUCAUUGACGUAUAUUCCACAUCUUUU
rnacentral:lncRNA from 1 species